rnacentral:lncRNA from 1 species
CCUUCCCCCAGAUCCUCUGCAUUAGCUCCUCUCUGAAGUAUAACAUUUAUCUUGCUGGACAUUUCCAGGAACAUCCUGACCUGACCUCCUUGGGCAGCCACAAGAACAAAAGAUUUCUGUACCAAGAAGUUUGCAUCACCCAACCAUGCCCCUUCCUCACCCUGCCUUGAAAUUUCAUUUCAGAGUUCCACUGUUGUGAAAAGGGAUUGGUGGGGUGUCUGGAGCACUGGAACACGGGUUCAAUUCCCAGCCCAGAACAGUGGGUUAAGGAUUCAACAUCGCUGCAUCUGCAGCUGCAUCGCAAGUAGGGAUCAAUGUGAUCCCUGGCCUGGGAACUCCGUGUGCUGCAGGAGGGCCAAAAAUAAAAAUAUUGCAAAUACAAAUAAAAAGGCUUUGGAAUUUUGGUUCAGGGAAUUCGGGAUAUUUGGGGGCACAAGCCACUCAUCUCCCUGCAUGGCCCUGUAGUACACAUUGCUGUUCUCUAAAAUGACAUUUUGGUUUGUUUAGCCUCACUGUGCUUUGGACAGAGGGACUUGUGCCAACAAGCCCAGAGCAAAAGCAUGGUGUGGAAAGCAAAAGCAGGUUGCUACACAUACACCCAGCACACAGCACCACCAAUGGUGCCAGAGGGGUGGCUGAGGUGGUCUGCCCAGCACUUUGGUGGUGCUGUAUGCAGGGGCAGGCAUAGUACUUGCUUUUGCUCCCCACACCCUGUUUUUGCUCUGGGCUCUUAAGAAGUGGCAGUUGGGUUUUUAGAUUCUUUUGUAUCUUUUUUUUUUUUUUCUUUUUAGGGCUGGGCCCAUGACAUAUUGGAGGUUCCCAGGAUAGGGAUUGAAUUGGAGCAGUGGCAGCAAUGUGGGAUCUGAGCCAUGUCUGCAAUCUAUGCCACAGCUCACAGCAGCAUUGGACCCUUAACCAACUGACCGAGACCAGGGAUUGAAACUGGGUCCUCAUGGAUGCUGCUCAGAUUUGUUUCUGCUGAGCCACAACAGGAACUCCCUGAUUAUUUUGUAUCUUCUUGGCCCUAAUUUGCCCCAGCGCUGCCUGUCCAGAGUUGUCUUCAGUCGUUAUAGCUUAUGUGUAUUUUUUUAAUGUUUUUAAAAACAUUUUUAAUUUUUUUAAACAUUCAAGGAGAUGUUUGUCCAGGUGCAAGCAUUGCAGCCACUGGAGCAAACGGCCCCAAGUCCCCCACACUUAACCAAUUUGUCACUAUAACUUAAAAUGAUUGACUAUGUGUAGAAAAUUCAAAACCUUGAUACUUUUAUUAAAACUACAAAUGAAUUUUUUCUUUUCAUAAGGGAAGGCUCUGUCCUUCACUGUCCUCACCUCUCACAUUGAGGAUGAAAAAAGGUGUUAUCUCACCAGCACAUGAUAGGUUAGUUUUGAGGUUACAUAUUAAGCUAGAAGAGAAACUGCGAAAGCUCCAAAACAAUACUCAUUGUAUCAUCUCAUCUUUCAUAUUUAUUUAUUUUCUUGCUCAGCAAAUAUGUCUUUAUCCUAUACUCUGUGCCAAGCAGAGAGGUUUCAGAAAUAAUAGAAGGUAGAAAAAAAAAAUAGGCUUCUGCCCUUUGGAGUUUAGUGUCCAAUGAGAAGGAUGAAUAAAUUCAAAGAAUCACAGAAAUAAAUGUAAAAUUGCCACUGCUGAAUGCAGCACAUUAGCCCUCCCGGGGUGGUGCUCUAAGGGAGAAUAGAACAGAGAACUCCACUCCAAUUGUGAUGCUUUCAUAGAAACCUGUGCCAGUUUUUGCCACAAAUAACACUAAUGUUUUAAAUUUUCUGUUGACAACACAAGGUAUGUACUUUCACAACCUAAUAGCUGCCUUCUUUUCCAGACAAGAUGUAAGCUCUCCUAAGUUGCACAUUUAAGAAAGAUACUAUUUGGGAAAGUUCAACAUUAAUUCAUGCUUUGAUGGAAAAAA